CUGUGAGAGGAAGGAGUCUGUAUUGCCUGGUGCUGCUCCUGGGAUUGCAACAGAGACGAACAGAAGGCUUUAGUAAACUGCUGAUGCCUGCUUCCAUCUUUGGCAUUAAUCUUCUGAGCCCACUAUCAGUCAGGGGAAGAUUUUAGGUACCAGGGGACUGAUGCUGGUGUCAUUUGUGUGACCACCAUCAAACUGGUGCUCAUUUUAGGGGCAAAUGAUGACAAACGUUCCUGUGUGAGGAGUGACCAGCAACAGUCACCAGAGAAGAGCUCAGUGACUGCGCCUUCUCCUCCCCUCAUGAGGAAGCUGCAGACCUCAGUGGGGUCUGUCCUCAGUCUCCUCUUCUUGUACCACCCAAAACUCUCCCUGGCACUUGAGGCCUGUGAAAGAAGCCUCCAGGGUUUCCAUGGUUGGAAAAAUGAGCAAACAUCUUGAAUUAUGGGAAAAUGGAGAAGUGGAGAAGAACUGCUAGGAUGAAUUGUCCUCCACUCCUGUUUCAGGAAAUGACCAUGAUCCUUCAUUGUGCUGCCUUUUAAUUGGGGCAGGUUGCACAUGGACAGAUUUCUAUGCUGAGUUGGUACAGUGAUCAACAAACUCCUAGAGAAGUGACACUUGCUCACGUGCUCACACACUUCCUUGGAAUUACUGCACAUGGAACAGUGUUCAUUAGCAACUUGUUCCCUCGAGAGAGUCCCUGUGCUGAGCUCCAGCCUGAUGUUUCUGCUGUACUGGAAAGUGUCUGUUCCCAGUCAGGAGAGGUCUGGGCACAGGGGCAGAAAUGCUUUGCAAGUGGGAGGUGUGCACCUAAGGUGUGCAGUGGCAGCAGGACAAUACAUGGCACUAAGGAUGAGCAGCAGAAUUUCUAGGCUUCGUAGCAACCCCCAAAUAAUUGGUGUUGAUAGUGGCUGCUGUGGAGCACUCUCAGACUGGCAUUCCUACCUGUAUCAUCACGUAGAAUCAGAGGUGUCCAUCACCUUGGAGGAAGCUAAACAGGGAAUGUGCUUUGCAAAUCCUAAGAAAUGUCAAGAAUGAAAAUUACUAUCUCUAAGCAUGACCAAAAUAUGGCUUCUUUCCUUUGGUUGAAGUGGUUUCUUGCCAGUAUCAGUAUCACCAACUGCUUGUACUGGCUUUUGAUCUUGUCAGACAACAAAUGGUGCCUCACACUGGCAUGAAGUGCAGCCAGAGCAUUAACCCACUGUCACUAAUGGGAAAGAUGAUUCACUGAACUCCUUCAACAUCCCUAAAUUCCCCAAAGCUCUUGAGUGUGGGUUACACUCUGCUUUGGCACAGGACAGGUGCAGGGCUGCACUGAAUAGGGGCCAAAACAAGGAUCACAUCCUGGGCACAUCAAGCAGCAUGCAGCAAGAGGGAGGCAAAAGCACUGACACUUUUCAAACAGCAGAUCUCACAUCAUGCUCACAGCAUAUCCCAAGACAGGGAAAAAAUACUGAGUGGACAUGCCAGGCAUAGCAGACCAAACAUCUGCAUCUGUGUGCUCAAAGCCAACACUGCUGGUUUGCAGAACAUGGUUUACAGUGAGUAUGCAAAUUAUUAUCAAAUUUGUCAUCUUCCUGGAAGAUUUAAUAAAAAUGUUGGCUAGUUAAAGAUGACAGAUCUGUGUUCUCUGAAUAAGGAACCCUUUAUAUCCAAAGAAUAUUUUAGCUCUUACUGAUAUCAGGUAUUUUAUCACAAUUUGGAGGCCAAUUUGUCCAGCUGCAUUAUCAGGAGGGAGCCCGAGCUGAGAAAGAGGAUUAAUCCCGUGUAGGCUCCCAGGCAGCUGUCAGCAUAGCACAGACAUCUGAAUUGCCACUGAAUUAUGCUGAAAGAAAACCAAAUACCCAGAAAAAAAAUCCUCUUUAUGGUUUUGUGUCCUCUCACUAGCCCUAGAGCCAGUCCUAGGAUGAAGGCAGAGUCUAAACUUGAUUUGGUAUUAGGAACUCUGAGCUCAAGCAGAUGGCUUCUCUGUUGCAGUUAAGGUAACUCCUCAGCAGUCAGCUAUAAUUGAAUAAUGCCACAUCAUUUUCAGUUCUGAGCUUUAGUUUCCUCAAAUGAUCUGCAGGCUUUGGCAGCUAUUUCUUGUGAUAAUGGAUCUUUCUCAAUUUCAUCAAAACUGGGGAAAAAACACCUGUUACUGACAUGUGUUUGUGCACUUUGUUAUGAGACAGAUUAUUUGAAAAUCCUUAUAUUCUCAUGUUUAAAAGGUAUUUGUGUGAGGUCCUUGUUUGCUUGUGGGCUUACUUUCCAGUGUGGUGUUCUUUCAACUGUUGCUUUUUUAGGUGUUUAAAUAACAGGUGAAGGCUGAUGUGUGACCUGUGUGAAGGAAAUUGAAGGAGACGACGCUGUCCUGAUGCUGUGCUGACAUACAGAACAUCAGCAAAUAGAAAAUGUUUACUGCUGUGAAUAUUUUAUUAAACAGUAGUUUCAUUUAGAUAAAUUAUUAUGAAGAUCAUGUAGCUCAGAAGUGUGCAAAGAGAUCAUAACUCUCUUGGAGUUAAAAUGCUGGAAGGAACCCUUUAUAUGAACUUGCUGAAACAAUUCAAUUUAUUGUACCAUUGGUCUGUUAACUGUCCAUAUCACUCAAUGCAAAAAUUCCAGAUGCCACUACAGAUGCUUAAACUGAGCAGAGAACAGCAUUGAGCCUAUAAAUGUUUCCUCCGGCUUCAAACACAAUUUUAGUCUCCACCAAUAAAUGAAAAAAUCAAUAUAAUACAUGGAUUUAUGGAAUGACAAAUCAUACCAGAAUAAUUUUAUAUUUCCAUAAGAGAAGAGAUGCUGGCAUUCGGAUGAAAACAACAUUCACUAGAUUUGCUUCUUAGCAAACAUCCCAUUUUAUUAACAGGGUUGUUUUAAGUAUAGUAUAUGGAAAGCUGGCUCCUUGCAUUUAAAAUAUUACUUAAAUGGUAUUCAAGCAACCUUUCCCUA